rnacentral:rRNA from 1 species
CCUACGGGGGGCAGCAGUGGGGAAUUUUGGACAAUGGGCGCAAGCCUGAUCCAGCCAUGCCGCGUGUCUGAAGAAGGCCUUCGGGUUGUAAAGGACUUUUGUCAGGGAAGAAAAGCUUGGGGCUAAUACCCUUGGGUGAUGACGGUACCUGAAGAAUAAGCACCGGCUAACUACGUGCCAGCAGCCGCGGUAAUACGUAGGGUGCGAGCGUUAAUCGGAAUUACUGGGCGUAAAGCGGGCGCAGACGGUUACUUAAGUCAGAUGUGAAAUCCCCGGGCUCAACCUGGGAACUGCGUUUGAAACUGGGUAGCUAGAGUAUGUCAGAGGGGGGUAGAAUUCCACGUGUAGCAGUGAAAUGCGUAGAGAUGUGGAGGAAUACCGAUGGCGAAGGCAGCCCCCUGGGAUAAUACUGACGUUCAUGCCCGAAAGCGUGGGUA